AUUGAACGCUGGCGGCAUGCCUUACACAUGCAAGUCGAACGGCAGCGGGGACUUCGGUCCGCCGGCGAGUGGCGAACGGGUGAGUAAUGUAUCGGAACGUACCAUUCAGUGGGGGAUAACUAUCCGAAAGGAUAGCUAAUACCGCAUAUUCUGUGAGCAGGAAUGCAGGGGAUCGCAAGACCUUGCGCUGAUUGAGCGGUCGAUAUCAGAUUAGCUAGUUGGUGAGGUAACGGCUCACCAAGGCUACGAUCUGUAGCGGGUCUGAGAGGAUGAUCCGCCACACUGGGACUGAGACACGGCCCAGACUCCUACGGGAGGCAGCAGUGGGGAAUUUUGGACAAUGGGCGCAAGCCUGAUCCAGCCAUGCCGCGUGAGUGAAGAAGGCCUUCGGGUUGUAAAGCUCUUUCGGCCGGGAAGAAAUCGCAUCAGCUAAUACCUGGUGUGGAUGACGGUACCGGAAUAAGAAGCACCGGCUAACUACGUGCCAGCCGCCGCAGUAA
rnacentral:rRNA from 1 species